GGUUGACCUCGGAUCAGGCAGGGAUACCCGCUGAACUUAAGCAU
rnacentral:rRNA from 1 species